CCCUUCGGGGGCGAGUACAGCGGCGGACGGGUGAGUAACACGUGAGCGAUCCACCCCGAGGCGGGGGGCAACCCAGGGAAACCUGGGCUAAUACCGCAUACAGCGGCAGGCAUGGAAGCCUGUCGUGAAAGCUGGCCUCUCCAUGGAAGCUAGCGCCUCUGGACGAGCUCGCGGCCUAUCAGCUGGUUGGUGAGGUAACGGCUCACCAAGGCGAUGACGGGUAGCUGGCGUGAGAGCGCGAUCAGCCACACUGGGACUGAGACACGGCCCAGACUCCUACGGGAGGCAGCAGUGGGGAAUCUUGCGCAAUGGGCGAAAGCCUGACGCAGCGACGCCGCGUGGGGGAGGAAGGCCCUAGGGUUGUAAACCCCUGUCAGGUGGGACGAACCGGGGAUCGGCGAAAGCCGGUUCCUCUGACGGUACCACCAGAGGAAGCUCCGGCUAACUCCGUGCCAGCAGCCGCGGUAAAACGGAGGGAGCAAGCGUUGUUCGGAAUUACUGGGCGUAAAGGGCGCGUAGGCGGCCCUGUAAGUCGCAUGUGAAAGGCCGGGGCUCAACCCCGAGUAUUGCAUGCGAUACUGCAAGGCUAGAGACAGGUAGGGGCGAGCGGAAUUCCCGGUGUAGCGGUGGAAUGCGUAGAUAUCGGGAAGAACACCGGUGGCGAAGGCGGCUCGCUGGGCCUGUUCUGACGCUGAAGCGCGAAAGCGUGGGGAGCGAACAGGAUUAGAUACCCUGGUAGUCCACGCCGUAAACGCUGGG
rnacentral:rRNA from 1 species